UCCGUAAUUGUUCACAUAUCUGAAUGUACUCACACAGUCUUCAGACUUCACUAUGUCCUUUGGGCUGGGGACAAUCUCAUCAGAGGUGAAAAUGGCAAUUGGCAGACACUUUACUGAAAUAUGGAAAAAACAUUUUAGUCUUAUAUCGAUGUCGGUAUACUCACUUGUUUUGGUAGUGCUUGAAAAGAUACUGGCAUCUGAGCUUAAAUGCCCAGAAGAGCUGCACUUGAGACAUUCAUACACCAUCUUACAUUUCAUUAUGCCAGCUGUGACUUUUUUUAUAUUAGGCAUAAUUUUGCAACCAGAAUGUCCACAUCCGUCUCUUAGAGAAAACAAAUUUUACUACUUUUACAACAAAUGGAAAAGUGACAACAAAUGCAAAAGUGACUCUACAGAUAAGCACAAGUUUAGUAGCUGCUGGUGCGUUUUGUUAAAGGCUUCUUUUCCUGCUGUCUUGUGGACAGUGAUCCUUCUUCUGGAUGGAAGAUAUGCUGACUGCUUCAGUAAGAACAUCACAGAGUAUCAGAUUUCCCAGCUCUUGGGACUCGUUGGCAUUUUCGCUGUUGUCUGUAUUGGUUCAAUAUGCAAGUGCUGCUGCAAGAAGGGCUACAGAAAAAAGAUAACAGUGGAUGAAGCUGAAAUCAAGAAUCUACUAGAGCAAAAAGCUUAUGAGUAUAUUUUAAAACAAAAG